AAUGACAAUAUAGCGAACAGCUAUGCCAACAACCGACGUACAGAACGGCAGUGUCUUCCGAGAUUGACAUUGUCAAUAAUUUAUUAGGUACAGUAGAUAGUCUAUGAUCUUUUGUUUGUCUUGGCGUACGUCGAUAUCAAUUAAAAUUAAGCUUUUAACUUUUGUUUCGAAGUACGUUAUUCAUUUAAGUUUUUUUUUAUACUAGUCGAAGCAUGAGUACGUAGUACCGACUAAGAUGUACCUUGUGUCUUAGUCCGUGGUACCUGGUAAAGUGGAUACUAUACAUGGUGAAGAUAAUACAUCUAUACUCAACGCUGAAUUCAUUUAUUAUUACCCAAGUGUAUUGUUUGAUUUUAUCACGUAGAACACAAAAUAACAACAUAGAGUCUAAGGAUAAUAUAAGUAAACAACAAAGUUGUUAGGGUUAAAAAUGGUAUUUAUUUUCGUCGAAAAAUAUUUUGGGACAAAAAACCAGACAAC